CAAUAGCGUAUAUUAAAGUUGUUGCGGUUAAAAAGCUCGUAGUUGGAUUUCUGCUGAGAACGACCGGUCCGCCCUCUGGGUGUGUAUCUGGCUCUUUCUUGGCAUCUUCUUGGUGAACGUUGCUGCACUUGACUGUGUGGAGCGCUACCCAGGACUUUUACUUUGAGGAAAUUAGAGUGUUUCAAGCAGGCAUACGCCUUGAAUACAUUAGCAUGGAAUAAUAAGAUAGGACCUCGGUUCUAUUUUGUUGGUUUCUAGAGCUGAGGUAAUGAUUAAUAGGGAUAGUUGGGGGCAUUCGUAUUUAACUGUCAGAGGUGAGAUUCUUGGAUUUGUUAAAGACGGACUACUGCGAAAGCAUUUGCCAAGGAUGUUUUCAUUGA
rnacentral:rRNA from 1 species